rnacentral:rRNA from 1 species
AUUGAACGCUGGCGGAAUGCUUUACACAUGCAAGUCGAACGGUAGAGGGGGCAACCCCUUGAGAGUGGCGAACGGGUGAGUAAUAUAUCGGAACGUGCCCAGUCGUGGGGAUAACGUAGCGAAAGUUACGCUAAUACCGCAUACGAUCUAAGGAUGAAAGCGGGGGACUCGCAAGAGCCUCGCGCGAUUGGAGCGGCCGAUAUCAGAUUAGGUAGUUGGUGGGGUAAAGGCUCACCAAGCCAACGAUCUGUAGCUGGUCUGAGAGGACGACCAGCCACACUGGAACUGAGACACGGUCCAGACUCCUACGGGAGGCAGCAGUGGGGAAUUUUGGACAAUGGACGCAAGUCUGAUCCAGCCAUUCCGCGUGCAGGAUGAAGGCCCUCGGGUUGUAAACUGCUUUUGUACGGAACGAAAGGUUUCUAUUAAUACGAUGAGCUCAUGACGGUACCGUAAGAAUAAGCACCGGCUAACUACGUGCCAGCAGCCGC